rnacentral:rRNA from 1 species
CGAAGGGGCUAGCGUUGCUCGGAAUCACUGGGCGUAAAGGGCGCGUAGGCGGCCAUUCAAGUCGGGGGUGGAAAGACCUGUGGCUCAACCACAGAAUUGCCUUCGAUACUGUUUGGCUUGAGUAUGGUAGAGGUUGGUGGAACUGCGAGUGUAGAGGUGAAUUACGUAGAUAUUCGCAAGAACACCGGUGGCGAAGGCGGCCAACUGGACCAUUACUGACGCUGAGGCGCGAAAGACGUGGGGAGGCAAACAGGAUU